GGAUGUGAGGGUGAUCUGGCUGUAACAUCUGUUACCCCAUUGAUCGCCAGCGUUGAUUCAACCAAUCUAACCGUACAGGAAGGUGUCGCUUUCCUCCCUCACUGCUCCAUGUGCAUCUCUCCUGAAGUGUGUGCUCGAAGAGGACUCCAUCCCCGACAGAGGAGGACCAAUCUUCGGUCAAGGGUAUACGAGUAGCUAUGCUCCCCGGCUAGAACCUCCAAACAAGCUCUCAAGAAAAGGCUCAGGUAUAAAUGCAGUGGCUAAAGGCCAAGGGGCAGAGAGCUUUUGCCUGCCAGCUGCU
rnacentral:snRNA from 1 species